GAUGAACGCUAGCGGCAGGCCUAACACAUGCAAGUCGAGGGGUAGAGGAAGCUUGCUUCCUUGAGACCGGCGCACGGGUGCGUAACGCGUAUGCAAUCUGCCUUGUACUGAGGGAUAGCCCAGAGAAAUUUGGAUUAAUACCUCAUAGCAUUAUGAAAUCGCAUGGUUUUAUAAUUAAAGUUCCAACGGUACAAGAUGAGCAUGCGCCCCAUUAGUUAGUUGGUAAGGUAACGGCUUACCAAGACGAUGAUGGGUAGGGGUCCUGAGAGGGAGAUCCCCCACACUGGUACUGAGACACGGACCAGACUCCUACGGGAGGCAGCAGUGAGGAAUAUUGGUCAAUGGACGCAAGUCUGAACCAGCCAUGCCGCGUGCAGGAUGAAGCAUCUAUGGUGUGUAAACUGCUUUUGUACGGGAAGAAACACUCCUACGUGUAGGAGCUUGACGGUACCGUAAGAAUAAGGAUCGGCUAACUCCGUGCCAGCAGCCGCAGUAACAC
rnacentral:rRNA from 1 species